GUAGACUGUUUGGUUCGGACAAGACUUGAGCUGCAGGGCACAACAGGGCAGGCGUCACGGUUGGCAUUUGGCAACAUUUGCAGGAACGUGCAAACAGGAUGCCAAGCAAGUUUUGAAACAUUAAGGAAAUGGCUUUGAAUGCGUUCGUACGUUUAACUUCCCGUCAUCGCACAUGCGAAGGCUGUCUCGCUGUACGUUACUCGGGGUUUCCUCCUUCAACCACGCUAUUGAAGGGACUGGAUUUCAUCUGAUUGCGACACAGACACUCCAAUGUGCUUGCUCAAAGGAAGGCUACAACUCUUAAAGAUCUGCCUUUGUUUAUAAUCCGUUACAUUUAUAUAGCGCUUUUCUGGGCACUCAAAGCGCUUUACAUGGAAGGGGGAAUCUCCUCAACCACCACCAGUGUGCAGCAUCACCUGGAUGAUGCGACGGCAGCCAUAUUGCGCCAGAACGCCCACCACACACCAGCUUACUGGUGAAGAGGAGACAGAGUGAUGAAGCCAAUCAGUGUAUGGGGAUGAUUAGGAGGCCAUGAUGGACAGAGGCCAAAUGAGGGGAAGUCUGGAAACAUCCUUAAGACUUGCCUGGACACGGAGCCAGAAGACAUUCACAAGGGGAGAAGAUGAGGAUCUUAACUAUCGUUGAAGAUGAUGUUGCCACUAUCCACUCAAACCCGAGUAUAAGUAUGGUUUACUCCCAGCAUUUGGAUUCUUAAUGUGAAGGCUAUACAAGUAUCUGGGCAACAGUGUUGGCCCAGAAUGGCUCCUAAAAAGGUGCGGGCGGUGCAAGCAGAGGCUGAGGAACCUGUUAGAGCUGAGAUGGAGGGAGACGAUGGUGAAUCAGAUGCUGAGUUGGGGAGUGUCUCUGAGGAUGUCUCACUGGCAGAGCUGAGAGACAUAUUCCGAUUACAU